UACGUAGGUGGCAAGCGUUAUCCGGAAUUAUUGGGCAUAAAGCGCGCGCAGGUGGUUUCUUAAGUCUGAUGUGAAAGCCCACGGCUCAACCGUGGAGGGUCAUUGGAAACUGGGAGACUUGAGUGCAGAAGAGGAAAGUGGAAUUCCAUGUGUAGCGGUGAAAUGCGUAGAGAAUAUGGAGGAACACCAGUGGCGAAGGCGACUUUCUGGUCUGUAACUGACACUGAGGCGCGAAAGCGUGGGGAGCAAACAGG
rnacentral:rRNA from 1 species